GACAGAGGCCUCGAGCGUUAGGCGGAAUCACCGGGCGUAAAGCGCACGUAGGCGGAUCGAUCAGUCAGGGGUGAAAUCCCAGGGCUCAACCCUGGAACUGCCUUUGAUACUGUCGAUCUGGAGUAUGGAAGAGGUGAGUGGAAUUCCGAGUGUAGAGGUGAAAUUCGUAGAUAUUCGGAGGAACACCAGUGGCGAAGGCGGCUCACUGGUCCAUUACUGACGCUGAGGUGCGAAAGCGUGGGGAGCAACAGG
rnacentral:rRNA from 1 species